CCGGUUAGACUUUGCUCUCGAGUACAAAAACAAGCACCUAGCAGUAAGAACACAAAGGUACUAUAUACAAUAAGAUAAAGAUAAAAAAAUAGUACCCAGGCGGUCCAAGCACUAACCAGGCCCGAUCCUGCUUAUCUCCGCUUUUCUUAUCAAAACGUCAUUUUACAUUGGUUAUAUAUUUAUGUAACCAGGUUAAAAAUAAAUACCAUCCUUGUAACCGAACUGAUGUUCAGUUGAUGUAUUGCUGUGACUAAAAUUAAUAGCGAAUCACAAAUGUGGUUAAAAAGCUUGUCCACGAAAGAGUUGAAAGAAUAUAUUGCAAUUAAUAAGUUUAAACGGUACUGAUAUGAAGUGAUAAAUAUUGUGUUUUAUUGUGAAAUGUUCAUGAUUGUAAGAGGAAGGAAGUGGCAUUUGAGAAUAGGAGCAUCACUGGUCAUUCAUUGGCUGAGGUGUGCGGGGUGUGAGAGUGUGGGAAAUUUCGCUGUCUUGGCUUUAGAGUCGCUGCUCGACUUUCUACGUUAGGACGCUCAGUUUACAUCAUUUUCUGGUGCAACUGGAGAUAUUUCUGCUCGAAACUUGUGAUACAGUUGUUCAAGUGUGUGUACCAAUUUCUGACGCUCAUACACACACACCAGCUUAUGCUCAAGGCUUCAGUUCAUUGUUCCCGGCGUGGAAAUUGAAGAGUCGUCAGUUGCAUUAGACUACGAGGGACAAACCACACACACCGGCUCUUCACCGGAGCUUGAGAGAGGGAUAUCCGUCGAGACCGUGCCGUCUUUGGACACCUGCUUGCUGGAUUGACCUUCACCGAAGAUCGAAAGACUGGUGAAGCCACAGCCUGGACUCAGAGUUCGUAAUCAAGGGGUGUACAAGACUCAUCUCUAAUCUGUGAACUUGUCCUUGUUGCGAUGCCAUCAGGUGGCAGCUCACCUCAUAACCCUUGAGCGAUGGACCCACCAGCACGACGGGCCUCAUGGAGGGAACCACGUCAUACGGGGGGAUGUGCUCCGUCUGUUAACACAAACAUUAUUUAAUCAGCGGCACCAGGCUCAUCACAAGCAAGACAAUUACAGCAGACAGCUGUAAUGGAAGUGCUGAGUCAGCUGACCUUGGAUUACAAUCAGAUGUGUCAAAUGGUUUAUUGUCAUAUUGAAGCAUGUAGCAAAUGAUAACACAACAUAACUUGUCAAAAUGUAAUACAAAGUGUGAUGUAUUUCCUGCAAAAUGUGGGACUAUUAACUAUUUAUUGUUAAUUUUACCAAACAGUGUAGCACAUUCACAUAUUUUCAGUUCAAUCGGUCUUCAAUCAAGGAAUCAAUACAUGUUUAUGUUAAUCUAUACAUGUCAAAAAUGUUUCAUUUUGACCCAUUAAUAAUUUCUCUAUCAUUUACUACAUGGAUGGAUGGGUAUGAUGGCUACACUGAUGUUGUAAAAUAGUCACAAAACUCCAGUCUAAUUAACACAAUACCAUAGCAAAAUAUCACAACAGCAGUAACACCGUGAUACUGUACCAUGCCAAAGUAGUAAUACUAGAUAUACUUAAAGAUGUAGACCUGACAAGCAAAACAAAAGCUCACUAGUUGAUGUAAUACAUUAUCUAUCUCUUUGUUAUUCAUAGACAAACAUGGUUACAUGUCAGCUCCAGAACACACUGGACACGCAAAAGGAUUUGAUAUUAAAAGGAGGGGAGAGAAGACAGUGACAGUGUCGUCAGUAACUGCUGCCAAGGGAGGCAUCACAAUAAUAUGUCAGAGACAUUCAAACAUGCUUCACAUAACACACUUUCCACCAUAAUUCUUAGCAAAUGAAACCUAUCAAGGAUAACCGGUAUAAUAAACAUAAAAAGUAUUUCUAUUUGUCCUAAGGUUAUAUUCACAAAGUCACAUGAGUGCAGUUCAGGGGGGGGUUCAUAGUCUUGUCGUUGGGUUCACACUGUGGUAAGCCCCAGUCUCAGAGCGCCUGCAGUCCUCAACUGGAGGAAGAGGAGGAUCAUGGGAUAAUGUACCAACAACUCUACGCAGUGAACUUAUGCUCUAUGCAGAGACAUGGGAAGGCUUUAGAGUCUUAUUCUCUCUAUGUUGUUGCAGUUCAGGAAGCUUGGCUCUAAGCUGGCAGCUGGCUAUUAACGGCCCUCUCCCCCACCCCCGGCCGAUGCCCUCACCUGCCGAGGAUAUGAGAGGUCGGAUAGAGGCAGAUACCUCAUCCUCUACACUGGAAGAGGAGUUCCCUCCAGACUUACUGGAAAAGACAAGAGGGGGAUAAAGAAAGACAGAAACACAUGUUGGUAUUAAUGUGGAAAAUGUACUGUAAAAAGUAAUGUAAAAUUGACGGAUUAUUUACUGCAGGGGAAAAGUGCAAGACAUGGAAGAAAAAUAUGUAGUACUUUUA